rnacentral:rRNA from 1 species
GAUGAACGCUAGCGGCGUGCCUAACACAUGCAAGUCGAGCGGCAGCGAGGGGUGCUUGCACCCUGCCGGCGAGCGGCGGACGGCUGAGUAACGCGUGGGAACGUGCCCCAAAGUGAGGAAUAACUGCCCGAAAGGGUAGCUAAUACCGCAUAUUAUCUUCGGAUCAAAGGAUUUAUCCGCUUUGGGAGCGGCUCGCGUCGGAUUAGGUAGUUGGUGAGGUAAUGGCUCACCAAGCCGACGAUCCGUAGCUGGUCUGAGAGGAUGACCAGCCAGACUGGAACUGAGACACGGUCCAGACUCCUACGGGAGGCAGCAGUGAGGAAUCUUCCACAAUGGGCGAAAGCCUGAUGGAGCAACGCCGCGUGCAGGACGAAGGCCUUCGGGUUGUAAACUGCUUUUAUAAGUGAGGAAUAUGACGGUAACUUAUGAAUAAGGAUCGGCUAACUACGUG